rnacentral:rRNA from 1 species
AACGAACGCUGGCGGCAUGCCUAACACAUGCAAGUCGAACGGGAUCCUAGCUUGCUAGGUGAGAGUGGCGGACGGGUGAGUAACACGUGGGAAUCUGCCUUUUGGUUCGGGAUAACCGCGGGAAACUGCGGCUAAUACCGAAUGCCCUCGAGAGAGGAAAGAUUUAUCGCCAGAAGAGGAGCCCGCGUCCGAUUAGGUAGUUGGUGGGGUAAAGGCCUACCAAGCCGACGAUCGGUAGCUGGUCUGAGAGGAUGAUCAGCCACACUGGGACUGAGAUACGGCCCAGACUCCUACGGGAGGCAGCAGUGGGGAAUAUUGGACAAGUAGGGGGCGAACCCCUGAUCCAGCAAUGCCGCGUGAGUGAUGAAG